GGCACAAUGAGGGUCUAACUGUCUCUUUUAGUAAAUCAAUUAAACUGAUCCCCUAGUCCAAAAGCUAGGAUACCAACAUAAGACCAGAAGACCCUGUGAAACUUUAACUAAACUAUUAAAUCCUAUAAUAGUUCCUUUAGGUUGGGGCGACCUUGGAAAAAAAAAGAACUUCCAAAUAUAUUACACAUACACCUUUACCCAGGCCAACAAGCCUACCCAACGACCCAGCACAGCUGACAAUUGAACCAAGCUACUCCAGGGAUAACAGCGCUUUCUUCUUCAAGAGCCCAUAUCAAAAAGAAGGUUUACGACCUCGAUGUUGGAUCAGGACAUCCUAAUGGUGCAGCCGCUAUUAAGGGUUCGUUUGUUCAA
rnacentral:rRNA from 1 species